UAGAUUAAGUAGAGGCUAACCAUGUGUAUGUUUGUGUAUGCUUGUGAGGAGAGAAACCCCUAGGUUCUGACGGUGAAGAACCGAAGCCCGUGUGACGAUUAGUAAGUGUUCGGUAGAAGGACCGAACCCAAAACCUUCGCUGUGUUCGCGGACGUCGCUUCGAGUUUAGUCAUGGUAAGUCGAUCCGUUGUAUCCGUUAAUCGAAUAAAUGGUUGAUUUGUAUGGAGUCGAUAUUUGUGCUAAAUGAAAUGUGCAUAGUGUCAAGAAAACGGUUCUCCGUCGUGACAUGAUUUUUAGAUUUGGAUUGUUUGAUUAAGUAAAACUGAGAAUCAGCUCUUAGUAAUUAUAAAGAAGUUAUAGUACGUUUUAUAGGCUUUCCAAAAAGUCUUGGAUCACCCCUUUUGGUGGUCUAGAAGUCAAGUUAUGGCUGUUUGAAAUGUAAUGUUUGAAUCUGUCAAAAAUCUAGACAGCAAUGUGUGUUUGAAUUAACUGACUUUGAUACACAUUGAAUCACCUUGAGAUGAUUAUAAAUGAAUUAUAGACAAUUAUAUUAGCUUUCUAAAAAGUCUAGGAUCACCUAAUUUGGAUGUCUGAAACUCCAGUUAUGGAAUUUUAAAGUGAGUGGCCGAAUUCUGUCCAAAUCUGGACAGAAAUUGCGUUUAGUACUGUUUGACAUUUCUAUAUGUCGAAUCUCACUGUGAUGAUAAUACCAAAAUUGUGGAGGACUUUAUAAGCUUUCCAAAAAGUCUUAGUUUACUAUUUUUGGAUGAAUAUUGUGUAAGUUAUGAAUAAAACAACUAGCUGCUGUUUUGCUGUCCAAAAUCAGCAAGCAUUAAGUGGAUUUCUUGAAGUUGCUCUUGUUUGGCUAGGUCAUUUUUUUACCCUUGAUUGAUGACAACUUGUUGCAUAUGAAGUGUUUAUCGAAAUGCCUUGUUAUAUUUGAUUAAUUCAUUUCCUUCUUAUUGUUUGACUAAGUAAAUUUAGUUAGUUCUUGAUUGAUGAAGUCUUGUACUUGCUAAAUUCAAGUGAACAAGUGUCCCAAGCUUAAGGUGCUAUACUCAGUAAUCUAAGGAAAGUAUGGAACACUUAUUAUAUUUCAUCUUGUAUGCUUUAGAUCUUUAAUUGUUGAGGAUGUAAAUUCUAUGGAACUUUAUGUUGUGUGAUAAGUGUUCUACUUGUGUGAUUGAAUAGAAAUGUGAUGAUUUAUUAGUUGGUGUGUUACAAUAAGUUAAUUUGGGAAAGAAGUUUAGGAAACUAGUUAAGCUACUCAUAUCUUUAAUCUAAGUCUGAGGUGACUAUCACUAGUGAACCUAAGUUCUAGUAAUCCUUUGAGAUGUACUGCUUUCUUGAUGCUUGUGCCAGACCUUAUUGAAUUAGAAAGUUAGUUACAUGUGUUCUAUCACCUUUUCCAAGUUUUGAGUGUUAAAAAGUGACAAGUCUAAGGGUAAUAACCUAUCGAUGUUAUGCUUUAGCUUAAGGCUUGUGUUUAGUUAUGAUUUCCAAAUGUUUGAAUUAGGUCCCUCUAGCUCGAGGAUCAUGAUUGUUGUUAAUUCAAAGGUAUCUAGUGUUUGCCUAGGAGUUCUAAUGCCUUACUAGCAAUAUAUUACCCUCUUCGACAUAGUGUUAUUAUCUUGUAUUGUUUAUGAUUAUUCUCUCAUAUGCAUUAUGCAUAUCAUUUAGGUACGUUAAUUGAUCACGUGCUAUGGAAGACGAGUGGAAUUGAUCUCCAAGUGAUGCUGAUGGACGAAGCUAAAAUGGAUGAAUCAACCAAGUGUCAGGAUGGAAGAUGCUCACCAAGUGGUCGUCAAUUAACAACACUAACAUAGUGUUUAUCCCAGGCAAGCCCCGGUGCAUUUGCCACCUCCUUGUUGUUAUAAAACUUUUAUCACUUAUAUGUUGCAUUAGGUGAUAGGAGUUGAGUGAUGAAACAAUUGAUGCAAUGCCAUUCCUUGGAAUUUGAUUACUAUUCCUUGAUUCCUGUUUAUAAAAGAGAACUAAAGAUGCUUAGCCCUGCUUAGAUAAUUAAAAGUUGUUUCUUUUAAAAAGAUGAUGUGUUACACGGGAUAUGGGAAAUUGUUGUGAAAAAGAAAUUGGGAUGGUGAAUCCAUAUGGCCAUGAUGGAUUCAACAUCCAGAAAAAGUACCUCUGUCAGGUACCAAGGAUUGGGAAAUGGUUUAACUAAAAUGAGACCAGACGUUGAGCAGGAAAGGUCGCCCGUCUGUGUCGAUUAAGGACCGUUCCGAUUGUUGGCCUGCUGAUCUAGGACCCUUUAACUGGCCACAUGCCUCAUCAUGGGUAAGCUUAGCCUCGGUCGGACCAAUACCAGAACAGCUCGCACGCACUGGGAGUGGAGAGAUGGCGAGAGUAGCUUGUACCCUCCGUGGCAAGAGACUGGAAGGUGGGGUGCUGUACUCUCGGAAACAUGGCGGGCACCAUGGCGAGAGUAACGUGUACCAACCAGGCCAACGGCUGGAAGGUGGGGUGCUGUACUCUCGGAAACAUGGCGGGCACCAUGGCGAGAGUAACGUGUACCAACCAGGCCAACGGCUGGAAGGUGGGGUGCUGUACUCUCGGAAACAUGGCGGGCACCAUGGCGAGAGUAACGUGUACCAACCAGGCCAAUGGCUGGACGGUGGAGUACUGUGCUCUCGGGUCGCGUGAACCUGUUUUGGUCUUGAGAAACCCGUGGGCGAGUUGACAUAUGCAAGGGUUAAGUGCUACAUAUGUCGUGUGGUUGGAGAUCCCCAGCUGGGUAUUAAUCGAUUCGGAUCGCCGUUACUUCUCGGAUAUGAAGACUGGAUCACUGCCCUGCAUCGUAGAUAACAAGUGAAACUAAAGUUGAUAAAAGGAAGCUAGUGUAGGACAAGUGAAUGCUCUAGAUUAGGCAAAUCUAGAUUCAGGAAAAGUACUUAACUUGUGAAGUAAAAUUUUGGCAUAAGGAUCCACUACUAGUAUGCUUUUCUGCAAAAACGAGUCUUUGAAAUUUGAUGAGCCUUACCUUGAUUCCCAAUAAACCAGCAUACCCUUGAGAGUCUUUCCUUUAGUCGGGUAAGUCUUGCUGAGUAAUUGCGUACUCAGGGUUUUAUUCCCUGUUGUUUUUCAGGUUAUAAUUUUGUUCUGUUGUGGAUGCUGCUAAGUGCCGGUGGGCUCGGCCUUCUUAUAUAAGUAUAUCCCAUCUUUAGCUUCUUUAUUGAGGAUUGUCACUUAAGCUAGCAUGUAAUUUAAAACUUAUAAAUGUUUUAUACAUUCAAAUUGUAAUCUUUUGAAUCAAUUUCUUUUGUAACCAACUCCGAUGAUAUAUAUUGUAAUCUUGCUAUAACUUGUAAAUGUUGUAACUUGUAACCAUUUUGUAAUAAAUAAUUUAUUUCCGCUGCAAA
rnacentral:lncRNA from 1 species